rnacentral:rRNA from 1 species
GUAUCAUGGCUCAGGAUGAACGCUAGCUACAGGCUUAACACAUGCAAGUCGAGGGGCAGCGGGAUUGAAGCUUGCUUCAAUUGCCGGCGACCGGCGCACGGGUGAGUAACGCGUAUCCAACCUUCCGUACACUCAGGGAUAGCCUUUCGAAAGAAAGAUUAAUACCUGAUGGUAUGAUGAGAUUGCAUGGUAUCAUCAUUUAAAGAUUUAUCGGUGUACGAUGGGGAUGCGUU